GCCUGGGUGGUUCAGUUGGUUGAGCAUCUGACUUCGGCUCAGGUCGUGAUCUCACAGUUUGUGGGUUCGAGCCCCGCAUCAGGCU
rnacentral:tRNA from 1 species